ACUCCUACGGGAGGCAGCAGGGGGGAAUAUUGGGCAAUGGAGGAAACUCUGACCCAGCGACGCCGCGUGAGGGAUGAAGGCCUUCGGGUUGUAAACCUCUUUCAGUAGGGAAGAAGCGAAAGUGACGGUACCUACAGAAGAAGCACCGGCUAACUAUGUGCCAGCAGCCGCGGUAAU
rnacentral:rRNA from 1 species